rnacentral:rRNA from 1 species
AACGUAGGAGCCAAACGUUAUCCGGAGUUACUGGGCGUAAAGGGCGUGUAGGUGGUUUCGUAAGUCUGGCGUGAAAUUUUUCGGCUUAACCGGGAAAGGUCGUCGGAUACUGCGGAGCUAGAGGACGGUAGAGGCGUGUGGAAUUCCGGGUGUAGUGGUGAAAUGCGUAGAGAUCCGGAGGAACACCAGUGGCGAAGGCGACACGCUGGGCCGUACCUGACACUGAUGCGCGACAGCAUGGGGAGCAAACAGG